rnacentral:rRNA from 1 species
GACGAACGCUGGCGGCGUGCUUAACACAUGCAAGUCGAACGGUGAAGGGACCAGCUUGCUGGUUCUGGAUGAGCGGCGAACGGGUGAGUAACACGUGAGUAACCUGCCCCUUUCUCCUGGAUAACUGCAUGAAAGUGUGGCUAAUACGGGAUAUUAUGGUUCUGUCGCAUGGCCGGCCCGGGAAAGAUAUUGUUUCGGUGGGGGAUGGGCUCGCGGCCUAUCAGCUUGUUGGUGGGGAGGUGGCCUAUCAAGGCGGCGACGGGUAGCCGGCCUGAGAGGGGGGACGGUCACACUGGGACUGCGGUACAGACUAGACUGCUACGGGGGGGAGCAGUGGGGAACAUUGCACAAUGGGGGCAAGCGUGAUGCAGCGACGCCGCGUGAGGGAGGGUGGCCUUCGGGUUGUAAUCCUCUUUCGCCAGUGAAGCAGGCCUGCUCCUUGUGGGUGGGUUGACGGUAGCUAGAUAAGAAGCGCCGGCUAACUACGUG